UACGAAGGGGGCUAGCGUUGUUCGGAAUUACUGGGCGUAAAGCGCGCGCAGGUGGUCUUUCAAGUCAGUGGUGAAAGCCCGGAGCUCAACUCCGGAAAUGCCAUUGAAACUGUAAGACUUGAGGAUGAGAGAGGUGAGUGGAAUUCCCAGUGUAGCGGUGAAAUUCGUAGAUAUUGGGAAGAACACCGGUGGCGAAGGCGGCUCACUGGCUCAUAUCUGACGCUCAGGCGCGACAGCGUGGGGAGCAAACAGG
rnacentral:rRNA from 1 species